UGAACUAUCAAAAUGUUCAGGGCCAUGGCAUAGGGGCCCAUCUAUGUGGUAAUACCGCCUGCUUGGCCAAUCAGAAAAGCCUAUAUUCCACUGAUGAAAUCCAUUUCUCUUGUCAAACAUUCUUUGAUUAUAUGAAGCAACCAUCUGAGUAUCAUUAGGAAACAUAAAUGCCCCAGGUUUCUUUGACUUGCUCCUGUAAAGCUUCUGCACAUGAUUCCUCUCAUACCUAUCACUGUUCAUUGAAAAAUAUCCGUUGCCACUUGCAUACCGAGGUGAAAAUACCCUUGGUGAUAUCUGAGGCAAUGGAGAAUCAUCUAAAGGUUCAUAGUUAUGACCUUGAUAUACAGCCUUUUCAUCCCCAGAAGCAAAUCCAUUUAAUCUUCUUCCAUAAGCAUGGAAA
rnacentral:misc_RNA from 1 species